rnacentral:rRNA from 1 species
GACGAACGCUGGCGGCGUGCCUAAUACAUGCAAGUUGAGCGCUGAAGGCUGGUACUUGUACCCACUGGAUGAGCAGCGAACGGGUGAGUAACGCGUGGGGAAUCUGCCUUUGAGCGGGGGACAACAUUUGGAAACGAAUGCUAAUACCGCAUAAAAACUUUAAACACAAGUUUUAAGUUUGAAAGAUGCAAUUGCAUCACUCAAAGAUGAUCCCGCGUUGUAUUAGCUAGUUGGUGAGGUAAAGGCUCACCAAGGCGAUGAUACAUAGCCGACCUGAGAGGGUGAUCGGCCAAAUUGGGACGGAGACACGACCCAAACUCCUACGAGAGGCAGCAGUAGGGGAUCUUCGGCAAUGGACGAAAGUCUGACCGAGCAACGCCGCGUGAGUGAAGAAGGUUUUCGGAUCGUAAAACUCUGUUGGUAGAGAAGAACGUUGGUGAGAGUGGAAAGCUCAUCAAGUGACGGUAACUACCCAGAAAGGGACGGCUAACUACGUG